AGGCGCCUCAGGAGCCGCACGUCGAACCGCGGGAUGAUCGGGAUUGGAAGAGACUUUGAAAAUCGUCGAGUUCCAGCCUCCUGCCCUGGGCAGGGACACCUCCCACCAGCCCAGGUUGCUCCAAACCCCCUCCAACCUGCUCUUGAACCCCUCCAGGGAUGAGGCAGCCACAGCUUCUGUGGACAACUUAGGCCAGGGUCUCACCGCCCCCACGAGAGGAUGGGAUCAGCCUUUGCAGCUCUGUGCUGUCAACCUGUAUCACCGUACCCAUCCGGCCUGCGGCACAGAGGUGUUUCCUUGUGAGGGAUUGCAGCAAAUCCUCCCUGAGCGCAACGGGCAUGAGGCUCAACCACCCAAAGGAACUCCUGGUACCAACAUCCCACACCUCCAAAAGUCCUGCAGCUCCGUCCGUGGUGAGAAGGAACUCCAAACUCUGACCCAUGCCAUACAGAACAUCUAUU